rnacentral:lncRNA from 1 species
GUGACAUUGUUCUACUCGCCAAACCUGUAACUUUAACAGAGGGUGACAGGGUGACCUUGACGACAGAUGUUCCUGUGGCAACAGAUGGCACGAGCAAACCCGAGAAGCUGCUGUAUGCCGUCUCCCUGCCACCUGUGCAUGGUCAGAUUGAGCACAUCAAUUAUCCCGGCGUGCCCAUUUCCAGUUACAGCCAGUUGGAUGUGGUGGCCCAGAAGGUCUCCGACGUCCACGACAAUAGCCAUGGGGCCGGUAAGGAGGCACUCAGGUACAGCAGUGGAACAGAUUUUCUCCAAAAUUCCUACAAUGGAUAAGCCCCACCACCCUGCAGGACCUGCGUGUUGGGUCAGUGUAGAACACCAGGAACCCCUCACAUUAGCAAGCCACUCACUUUCUCAGCAAAAAUCAGGAUCUCAGUUCCAGCCUCUUAGGAUUAAGGAUGGCCAUGUCACAGGAAUUAUCAGGAGAUUCCCAGACCUGGAGGCCACUUUUGAACCUUACUCUUGCAAGGGAUUGAUUCAGUGCAGUAGACUUCUACCAAAGGUGACAAUCCAUUGUUGA